UACUGAGGGUGCAAGCGUUAAUCGGAAUUACUGGGCGUAAAGCGCGCGUAGGUGGCUUGAUAAGCCGGUUGUGAAAGCCCCGGGCCCCACCAGGGAACGGCAUCCGGAACUGACAAGCUAGAGUACAGGGAAGGAAGGUAGAAUUCCCGGUGUAGCGGUGAAAUGCGUAGAGAUCGGGAGGAAUACCAGUGGCCAAGGCGGCCUUCUGGACUGAUACUGACACUGAGGUGCGAAAGCGUGGGUAGCAAACAGG
rnacentral:misc_RNA from 1 species